AAACCUGCGCAGGGGUGACCCAGGCGUAGAAUGAGGACAUCGGCAUGUUUAACUCAGCUGGAUGGGGCAGUGCCAUAUAAAGUCAGGGUUGGUUUCUGUCUCUGUCCUGACACAGCUUCCUCUCACUCAAAGCCACAGAAGAUGAACUGCUUUGACCUGGUUUUUGCUGAUAACAGCACACAGCACAAUGAUGGAGAAAAAUACGCACUUGAAGAAUGAACAUGCCACACGCUUCCUGCAGAGAAGAAAGAGCAGCACAUCUGAUGGAUGUUGAUCACUUAUUACUGGAUGGACGGAUGAUGUACAGGAAUGUACAGUAAUAUCUGACAUUAAUGAUCAUAGAACUGCAGCCACAAGUUCUCAUAAAGAAAUAGUCUUCAUCCAGAAGAGAUUGCUAUAGGGAUUUGUGCCAGUGAUAUCCUGCAAUGUGAAGACUCACUGUAAAAUUACCUACUGACAAGAGGUAAACAAAGAGAGGAGACACAAUAAAUUACAGGAAUCACUCACAUCUCAUGGUCAAAAGGCCGGUCAAAAGACAGAUGUCACUUUUGGUACCCAAGUGGACUGAAUGAGCUUUCCAGAAGUGUCUCAGCACUGCUGACAGUAAUUUAUCUCUGUGAGUCUGGUGACUAUUGUAUCUCUCAUGCUAUUGGGCUGCCACUUGCCACCACUACUUUCAAAAGAAGCUGAUUUGAUACAGACUUGUGAGGGUGCAUGUUCUCAUAGACAUACUUACAUGCCUUGUGCAUAAGCAAGGCAAGAGACUUCCAAAGGCUGUGCCUCUUUGGAUGAACUGGGUAGUAUUGUGGGCUCACUGAAGUUGCAGUCGGGGUAUGAGUAGUCUACAAAAUACAUGCACUCUUCCCAUCUGUUAGAUCUUACCAGAAUGCUACAGAACGUCCAGAAACACUUGCUGUCCUGUAAACCUGUGAUUUAAAUGGAGAAGUGUACUGGAAAGGCUGUGAAAUUCCACCUCUAGCUUUAUAAUAGAAACGCCCACAUUCACUCAAGAGCAGUGGUACUGCGGUUUGAAGUCUUCAGAUUUCUUAUGCAUGCUGUGGCAUUUCCCUUAAAUUUAAUGGCAUUAAUCCUACUCUGGGAUUGCCUUGGCUUGUUGCUGGGAUGCUCUUCUGCCCAGAUUUUGCUACAGUUGAACAAAUGAAUACUUUGUGGUAUGCAAAGCUUGCCAUUAUUUGGUAUUAUUUUUGCUUGGUAUUAUUUUUGCUAUGAUGUGGUUCAUCUUAAAUUCCAUAACCACUUCUCUCUUUCUUUUUUGUGUUACUUUCUAUGUACUGCGAGCCCGUCUGCAUUCAGUCGAAUGAGUGGGAACUGUGGGCAUGCAACAGUACCUGAUCCCUUCUAUUACAUAAUUAAAUUGCUAUAAUGUAUAUGACUUAGGAAUAUGUCUGAACAAGUUGCUAUGAAUCAUACAUUUUUCAGCCUGAAACUGCCCUCUUUAGCUUUUAUUAAUCAUUUCACUGUUCCUGCAUUUUGAAGGAAAGCUUCCCCUUUCCCAGACUCUGAAGAAAAAAAAGAUGGCAAGGGUGAGGCACAUUUUGAUCUCUGUUAUUCUAGUGAAAUAUAAACAUAGGCUGAAUUACACCACAUGCAGUUGAGAUCAGAAUCUGGCACAGUGUCUCUGUACCCCAUAAUAAUAAUAAGUUUCUGCAGUCCCUACUGAACUGUUGGUACCAGCAAGCAAUUAGAGGGGCAAUUGUUAAAAUUUGACAUUUCAAAUUUUUUUGGCAUAGAACUGCAGGGCAAGUAGAUGCUCUUUUAAAAAUGAGUUCCUAAAUCUAUCAGUUUCUCAUCCUACCAGUUGCUACUUUAUCAAAAAAAACAAAAGUCCUGUUCUGAACAAUUCUCUUUUGUCUUUAGGAGGAUCCUGAUCUGGGGCCUGAUCUUUAUCAAGAGCUAUGUCUGAUUAGGGAGCAAGGAUACUGCCAAAACCAUUGCAGAUAUUUGGCUAGAAAGAAAUUCAAGAAGUCAGUGGUAAAGGAAAAAAAAGACCAAUGUCUGUUUAUUUACUCUGUGUAAAUCUUUUUUUUCACUGGAGUUCAUCUGGCUUUCAGCAUGUAGCUCAGAGUACAACUUGGCACUCAAGUGUCUGAGGUUUUGCAGUCCAGUUUGAGUUUACAGUAAGUAAAACUGGGUAGCUGAAUUGGUGUGUCUGGAGAGCAGAAGCAAAAUGAGUCAAAAGUAACAUACUGCUAGAUUAAAGAAAUCUGGUGAGAAGAAUAACUGUUACAGCACAGGCAGUGUUUGAUGAGGACCAUGUCCGAUGGGCUCCUAUGCUGAUGCAAUGUGUGCCUGGGGCGCUGCCCUGCCUAGUCAUCGUGACGUUCUCCAGCAAGGUCUCAUUUCUACAGUUUGGCACCAGCCAGUAAGUCGCUUGGUUGAAUUGCCCACCCUCUGUGUCUUAGUGGUGUGUGGCUGGUUCUCUGGAAAAGGUCAGCGUCAAGGGGCUACAUGUGUUUGAGACUAGAAGCUUGCUUUACUGUAGAUUAUUUUGGUGAUUCACCCUUUUCUCUUUAUUUCUACACUAUUUCUGCUGUGGCAAGUGACAGCACAGUGGUUGCAUCUAAAGGACAUCUUUUUACUGUGCGGAAUUUGAUACUGAAUGAAUAAUUGAAGUAGUGCAAUGUAUUUAAGAGUCAGGCUUGCAGAAUCACUGCUGUAGUGAAGGGGCUGACUGCAAUACAAAGGAAAUGCAGACUACAAUCCUGCCCUGUAUAUGUGCAAGGCAUUGAAUGCACAUGCUUUGAUGAGAAUUUAGUAUCUUGCAGAAAGUACUUAAGGCCCUGUGUAUAUGGGUCCAGCCUCCUUUCCUAUGUAGCAGCAUGGAGACUGCAUCAAAUGAAUAGUGGCUGCCAUGUCAUUUCUUCUGAUUUCACUAAGCAGAAAGAAGUAGCAGUUUGGAAGGGGAAGGCAGUCUUUAUCAUGCAAAUUAAGUACUCACAUUCAUCCAUGCAGUGACUUUCUUGACACCGUCUGGAAUCUUCCUGCAGCUUUUCUUUUCCGAUUAGCAGAUUCACCAGUGGUAUUUCUUGUCCCUUCUUAGUACUGGCAUCUAGCAUGAUCUGCUAUGUUUUACAUUUCAUUCAGAGACUAUAUUAAUUGCACAAUGGUUCUAUUUAUAAAAGAUCUAUUAGAGAUCACAAUUAGAAAAGUAUAGGUGGUGUGAAAAAGAGCAAUCACCCUUUGCACUCAGUGGUAAUGACAACGAUAUUUCCCUCUUCUACAGUAUAAAGUUCCGAUCCAAUGGUUGUAGAGCACCUUAUAAGCGUUAAGGCCAAAUGUAAUGCCCUGACUUUUAGACUGUCUUUACUGGAAAAUCAAAAUAGAAAAUGUUCUUACCUGCAUAGCUAAGUAAAGCUGCCCAGUGCCCAGUGUAAAAAGCUAGUGGAGACAGGGCAGGGUUGUACCCUGAGAUAAUUAAUGAAAGGAAACCUCAGUUGGAAGCUGCUGGUGGGAAUGCUCCUCCCCAACUACACAGGAGUAAAAGAGACCUGUAUCUUGCCUCCCAGCGAUUUUCCAGCUUAAUAUAGCUGCUUUGACAUACAUGCUACACGACACCCUAACCCUCUUUGUCUUUAGCCAAAACUGAGGGUGCUCAUCACUUUCCAACUCAUCAAGCUCUGGAGAACAAAAUUUAUAAGGUGUCCAAGCAUCUAAUGGCUGAAGAUGCUCCGUACCAUAGGAAAUGUGGCUCGAGGUGGCCCAGCAGGUCAGUGGCAUGAACGGGAAGACAGGAAGACGACCCGGAGGUCAGUCCUGCCUCCCAGUCCCAUACACAGUCCGCGCACCAACUCCAUUGCUUUCUCACCCACUGCAAGAGUGAUUGCUUAGACAUUUGCUACAUACAACAGUUUGCCCUGUGAAUUGUAACACUUUAAAACUAUAACGAGAACUGUAGGUUUUUUGUACCAAAUGAGGAAUUUCUUCUGUACAGCUUCUUCAAGCUAUUUCAACAAGUCCUUGGUGUAAUUCCAAACGUAUGCAAAAUCACACAAAAUGCAAGACUGACCUUAGAUGAAAGAAAUUCCUGUUUCAGCAAAGCCCACUUCAUUCUAUCAUUUGAACAUAAGGACCUGUUACAGGUUUGUCUUUGUGACUGUAAAAAUAAAGAUGAUGAAUAGCA